UACGUAGGGGGCUAGCGUUGUCCGGAUUUAUUGGGCGUAAAGGGCGCGUAGGCGGCCUGGCAAGUGGAAGGUGAAAUCCCUCGGCUUAACCGAGGAACUGCCCUCCAAACUGCUUGGCUUGAGUCCGGGAGAGGUGAGUGGAAUUCCCAGUGUAGCGGUGAAAUGCGUAGAUAUUGGGAGGAACACCAGUGGCGAAGGCGGCUCACUGGACCGGAACUGACGCUGAGGCGCGGAAGCGUGGGGAGCAAACGGG
rnacentral:rRNA from 1 species